AGCACUGUGUGGUAUCUGCAGCCUGCUGGUUCAUCAGCUGGUUUGUUCAAAAGUCAGUGCAAGAUGAAGUCAACAUCUGGCAUCGUUGGUCUGUGAGCUCAACGUGCUCUCAGUCCUGGUAUUUUUGUUGAAACAGUU